GAGGGUAUAGCUCUGUGGUGGAGUAUGUGUUUAGCAUGCACAAGGUGCUGGGUUCAAUCCCCAGUACUUCUA
rnacentral:tRNA from 1 species